CUGAAUAUUCAGCAAACCUGUUGAAAAGCAGGGACGCAAAGCUAAAGGGGCCCGAAAGAGCCAGCCAGCUGCCGGA
rnacentral:ncRNA from 1 species